rnacentral:rRNA from 1 species
UACGUAGGGUGCGAGCGUUAAUCGGAAUUACUGGGCGUAAAGCGUGCGCAGGCGGUGAUGUAAGACAGAUGUGAAAUCCCCGGGCUCAACCUGGGAACUGCAUUCGUGACUGCAUCGCUGGAGUGCGGCAGAGGGGGAUGGAAUUCCGCGUGUAGCAGUGAAAUGCGUAGAUAUGCGGAGGAACACCGAUGGCGAAGGCAAUCCCCUGGGCCUGCACUGACGCUCAUGCACGAAAGCGUGGGGAGCAAACAGG